rnacentral:rRNA from 1 species
AGUGAACGCUGGCGGUAGGCCUAACACAUGCAAGUCGAACGGCAGCACAGUAAGAGCUUGCUCUUACGGGUGGCGAGUGGCGGACGGGUGAGGAAUACAUCGGAAUCUACUUUUUCGUGGGGGAUAACGUAGGGAAACUUACGCUAAUACCGCAUACGACCUACGGGUGAAAGCAGGGGAUCUUCGGACCUUGCGCGAUUGAAUGAGCCGAUGUCGGAUUAGCUAGUUGGCGGGGUAAAGGCCCACCAAGGCGACGAUCCGUAGCUGGUCUGAGAGGAUGAUCAGCCACACUGGAAGUGAGACACGGUCCAGAGUCCGACGGGAGGCAGAAGUGGGGAAUAUUGGACAAUGGGCGCAAGCCUGAUCCAGCCAUACCGCGUGGGUGCAGAAGGCCUGCGGGUUGUAAAGCCCUUUUGUGGGGAAAGAAAAGCAGCAGGUGAAUACCCCGCUGUGCUGACGGUACCCAAAGAAGAAGCACCGGCUAACUUCGUG